UGCUGUGGGGCACGCCUACCAUGCAAGUCGAGCGGUUGCCGGGAGCUUGCUCCUUGAUGCGUCGCCAGACGGGUAAGUAAGGCCUAUGAAUCUGCCUGUGCCUGGGGGACGGCGUUUCCUACUGAACGCUGAUACCGCAACCGUCCUACGGCAGAAAACCAGGGACCGUCAGGCCUUGCCCUCUCGCAUUAACAUGUGCCCGAUUAGCAUUUUGGUGGGGUAAUGGCUCACCCACGCCACGAUCCCUAUCUGGUCUGAGAGGAAGAUCAUGCCCACUGGAACUGAAACACAGACCAGACUCCUACUGGAGGCAGAGGUGGGGAAUGUUGAACAAUGGGCGAAAGCCUGAUCCAGCCAUGCCCCGUGUGUGAAGAAGGUCUUCGGAUUGUAAAUCACUUUAACUUGGGAGGAAGGGCAAGGAGUUAAUACCUUGCUGUUUUGACGUUACCGACAGAAUAAGCACCGGCUAACUCUGUGCCAGUGCCCGCGGUAAUACAGAGGGUGCAAGCGUUAAUCGGAAUUACUGGGCGUAAAGCGCGCGUAGGUGGUUUGUUAAGUUGGAUGUGAAAGCCCCGGGCUGGUCUGGGAACUGCAUUGAAUACUGAGACUGCUAAAACUACAGUAGAGGGUGGGGGAGUACAUUUG
rnacentral:rRNA from 1 species